rnacentral:rRNA from 1 species
AUUGAACGCUGGCGGCAUGCUUUACACAUGCAAGUCGAACGGUAACAGGCCUUCGGGUGCUGACGAGUGGCGCACGGGUGGGUAAUGCAUCGGAACGUGCCCAGAGGUGGGGGAUAACGCAGCGAAAGCUGUGCUAAUACCGCAUGUGAUCUGAGGAUGAAAGCGGGGGACCAGGCAGCAAUGUUUGGCCUCGCGCCUUUGGAGCGGCCGAUGUCAGAUUAGGUAGUUGGUGGGGUAAAGGCCUACCAAGCCGACGAUCUGUAGCUGGUCUGAGAGGACGACCAGCCACACUGGGACUGAGACACGGCCCAGACUCCUACGGGAGGCAGCAGUGGGGAAUUUUGGACAAUGGGCGCAAGCCUGAUCCAGCAAUGCCGCGUGCGGGAAGAAGGCCUUCGGGUUGUAAACCGCUUUUGUACGGAACGAAAAGGCUCUGGCUAAUACCUGGGGCUGAUGACGGUACCGGAAGAAUAAGCACCGGCUAACUACGUG